AUUGAACGCUGGCGGCAUGCCUUACACAUGCAAGUCGAACGGCAGCACGGGAGCAAUCCUGGUGGCGAGUGGCGAACGGGUGAGUAAUAUAUCGGAACGUGCCCAGUCGUGGGGGAUAACGUAGCGAAAGCGUACGCUAAUACCGCAUACGAUCUAUGGAUGAAAGCGGGGGAUCGCAAGACCUCGCGCGAUUGGAGCGGCCGAUAUCAGAUUAGGUAGUUGGUGAGGUAAAGGCUCGCCAAGCCGACGAUCUGUAGCUGGUCUGAGAGGACGACCAGCCACACUGGGACUGAGACACGGCCCAGACUCCUACGGGAGGCAGCAGUGGGGAAUUUUGGACAAUGGGCGGCAAGCCUGAUCCAGCAAUGCCGCGUGCAGGAUGAAGGCCUCGGUUGUAAC
rnacentral:rRNA from 1 species